UACGUAGGUGGCGAGCGUUGUCCGGAAUUACUGGGCGUAAAGGGCGCGUAGGCGGCUCUUUAAGUCAGAUGUGAAAACCCGAGGCUUAACUUCGGGAGUGCAUUUGAAACUGGAGGGCUUGAGUGCAGGAGAGGUAAGUGGAAUUCCUAGUGUAGCGGUGAAAUGCGUAGAUAUUAGGAGGAACACCAGUGGCGAAGGCGACUUACUGGACUGUAACUGACGCUGAGGCGCGAAAGCGUGGGGAG
rnacentral:rRNA from 1 species